UUACGGCCAUAUUACAUUGAAACACAGGUUCCCAUACGAUCACCGAAGUUAAGCAACGUCGAUCCUGGUCAAUACUUAGAUGGGUGACCGUUUAGGAAUAACACCUGGCG